rnacentral:rRNA from 1 species
AGAGUUUGAUCAUGGCUCAGAGCGAACGCUGGCGGCAGGCUUAACACAUGCAAGUCGAGCGGGCGUAGCAAUACGUCAGCGGCAGACGGGUGAGUAACGCGUGGGAACAUACCUUUUGGUUCGGAACAACACAGGGAAACUUGUGCUAAUACCGGAUAAGCCCUUACGGGGAAAGAUUUAUCGCCGAAAGAUUGGCCCGCGUCUGAUUAGCUAGUUGGUGAGGUAACGGCUCACCAAGGCGACGAUCAGUAGCUGGUCUGAGAGGAUGAUCAGCCACAUUGGGACUGAGACACGGCCCAAACUCCUACGGGAGGCAGCAGUGGGGAAUAUUGGACAAUGGGCGCAAGCCUGAUCCAGCCAUGCCGCGUGAGUGAUGAAGGCCCUAGGGUUGUAAAGCUCUUUUGUGCGGGAAGAUAAUGACGGUACCGCAAGAAUAAGCCCCGGCUAACUUCGUGCCAGCAGCCGCGGUAAUACGAAGGGGGCUAGCGUUGCUCGGAAUCACUGGGCGUAAAGGGUGCGUAGGCGGGUCUUUAAGUUAGGGGUGAAAUCCUGGAGCUCAACUCCAGAACUGCCUUUGAUACUGAGGAUCUUGAGUUCGGGAGAGGUGAGUGGAACUGCGAGUGUAGAGGUGAAAUUCGUAGAUAUUCGCAAGAACACCAGUGGCGAAGGCGGCUCACUGGCCCGAUACUGACGCUGAGGCACGAAAGCGUGGGGAGCAAACAGGAUUAGAUACCCUAGUAGUCC